UACGGGGGGGACUAGCGUUGUUCGGAAUUACUGGGCGUAAAGCGCACGUAGGCGGAUUUGUAAGUCAGGGGUGAAAUCACGGGGCUCAACCUCGGAACUGCCUUUGAUACUGCAAAUCUCGAGUCCGGAAGAGGUGAGUGGAAUUCCUAGUGUAGAGGUGAAAUUCGUAGAUAUUAGGAAGAACACCAGUGGCGAAGGCGGCUCACUGGUCCGGUACUGACGCUGAGGUGCGAAAGCGUGGGGAGCAAACAGU
rnacentral:rRNA from 1 species